rnacentral:rRNA from 1 species
GACGAACGCUGGCGGCGUGCUUAACACAUGCAAGUCGAACGGAAAGGCCCUGCUUUUGUGGGGUGCUCGAGUGGCGAACGGGUGAGUAACACGUGAGUAACCUGCCCUUGACUUUGGGAUAACUUCAGGAAACUGGGGCUAAUACCGGAUAGGAGCUCCUGCUGCAUGGUGGGGGUUGGAAAGUUUCGGCGGUUGGGGAUGGUCUCGCGGCUUAUCAGCUUGUUGGUGGGGUAGUGGCUUACCAAGGGUUUGACGGGUAGCCGGCCUGAGAGGGUGACCGGCCACAUUGGGACUAAGAGACGGCCCAGAAUCCUACGGGAGGCAGCAGUGGGGAAUAUUGCACAAUGGGCGGAAGCCUGAUGCAGCAACGCCGCGUGCGGGAUGACGUCCUUCGGGUUGUAAACCGCUUUCGCCUGUGACGAAGCGUGAGUGACGGUAAUGGGUAAAGAAGCACCGGCUAACUACGUG